UAGCACUGGCAUAGGACCCACUGGUGUUCUCCUGGACCAACUGGGCAUUGAGCAGUAGGAAAGCAAAUGCCUCCUAAAUCUGGGAAAGUCAUGCUGUGGGAUACUCCUGCAUGCAGGUGGAUACAAAU